GUGCCAGCCGCCGCGGUAAUACGGAGGGAGCUAGCGUUGUUCGGAAUUACUGGGCGUAAAGCGCACGUAGGCGGCGAUUCAAGUCAGAGGUGAAAGCCCGGGGCUCAAGCCCGGAACUGCCUUUGAAACUAGAUUGCUAGAAUCCUGGAGAGGCGAGUGGAAUUCCGAGUGUAGAGGUGAAAUUCGUAGAUAUUCGGAAGAACACCAGUGGCGAAGGCGACUCGCUGGACAGGUAUUGACGCUGAGGUGCGAAAGCGUGGGGAGCAAACAGGAUUAGAUACCCGAGUAGUCC
rnacentral:rRNA from 1 species